GAUGAAGAACGCAGCGAAAUGCGAUAAGUAAUGUGAAUUGCAGAAUUCAGUGAAUCAUCGAAUCUUUGAACGCACAUUGCGCCCCUUGGUAUUCCGGGGGGCAUGCCUGUUCGAGCGUCAUUACAACCCUCAAGCUCUGCUUGGUCUUGGGCGUCACCGGUCCCCGGUGUGCCUUAAAAUCAGUGGCGGCGCCAUCUGGCUCUAAGCGUAGUACAUACUCUCGCUACAGACGUCCGGUGGAUGCUGGCCAGCAACCCCCAAUUUAUCAAGGUUGACCUCGGAUCAGGUAGGGAUACCCGCUGAACUUAAGCAUAUCAAUAGCGGAGGA
rnacentral:misc_RNA from 1 species